rnacentral:rRNA from 1 species
UGGGGAAUAUUGGACAAUGGGCGAAAGCCUGAUCCAGCCAUGCCGCGUGUGUGAAGAAGGUCUUCGGAUUGUAAAGCACUUUAAGUUGGGAGGAAGGGUUGUAGGUUAAUACCCUGCAAUUUUGACGUUACCAACAGAAUAAGCACCGGCUAACUUCGUG